rnacentral:rRNA from 1 species
GCCUACGGGGCGCAGCAGUGGGGAAUAUUGCGCAAUGGGCGAAAGCCUGACGCAGCGACGCCGCGUGAGGGAUGAAGGUCUUCGGAUCGUAAACCUCUGUCCGCCCUGAAGAACUUCCACUGUGCUCAUCAGCAGUGAAUUGCACGUACCUGCAAAGGACGCACCCGCCCCAUACCUCACAGCAGCCGCGGUCAUACGGCGGCUGCGAGCGUCCCUCGGAAUUACUGGGCGUAAAGCGCUCUCCGUACGUAUCUCAAGUCAAGGGUGAAAUCCCCGCGCUCAACGUG